rnacentral:rRNA from 1 species
AAAUUGAAGAGUUUGAUCAUGGCUCAGAUUGAACGCUGGCGGCAGGCCUAACACAUGCAAGUCGAACGGUAACAGGAAGCAGCUUGCUGCUUUGCUGACGAGUGGCGGACGGGUGAGUAAUGUCUGGGAAACUGCCUGAUGGAGGGGGAUAACUACUGGAAACGGUGGCUAAUACCGCAUAACGUCGCAAGACCAAAGAGGGGGACCUUCGGGCCUCUUGCCAUCAGAUGUGCCCAGAUGGGAUUAGCUAGUUGGUGAGGUAACGGCUCACCAAGGCGACGAUCCCUAGCUGGUCUGAGAGGAUGACCAGCCACACUGGAACUGAGACACGGUCCAGACUCCUACGGGAGGCAGCAGUGGGGAAUAUUGCACAAUGGGCGCAAGCCUGAUGCAGCCAUGCCGCGUGUAUGAAGAAGGCCUUAGGGUUGUAAAGUACUUUCAGCGGGGAGGAAGGUGUUGCGGUUAAUAACCGCAGCAAUUGACGUUACCCGCAGAAGAAGCACCGGCUAA